GGAAGAGGCGGCAGUGGCCAUCUCAUUCUCAAAGUCCAGAGCCACAUAGCACAGCUUCUCCUUGAUGUCACGGACAAUCUCACGCUCAGCUAUAAACAGAGUUUUAAUGCAGGGAGACGUGUGGCUGCUCUGCAUACUUUACUCAAAAGAGGCCCGUCUGUGCAAGCAGAUAUCCUGCCAUAGCUGGCCCUUGAGCUUAUGUUGAGCCAAGUGGCAGUCACUGAGGGAAGGCCUGCUUCUCCAUCAGCUUGCGGAAGAGCCCCUGGUCGUUGGCAAGGAGCUUGGCGUGGCUGCCGAUCUCCAUCACACGGUGCUGGUCCAGCACAGCCACGGCAUCAGCGCUUUGGAUGGUAGAGAGACGGUUCAGUUCUCACCUGAAUCAGGAUCAUAGAGCCGGAGCAACAGUGACACAAGUGUGGAUUUGCCUGAACCACUGGAUCCCACUACUGCCAUUACUGACCCCGCUGGCACAUACAGAUUCAGAUUUUGGAAGAUGGGUGAAUCCUUCCUCGUCGGACUACAAAAAUUAUAAAGCAUGCCUUGGGACCACAGACUGUAAAAAAAGAGCGACGAUGCAGCUCCAAUUCCUUCCACUAUAGAAAAGUGUCAUCAACUGUGAUCUUGCGAAAAUAACGUCUUUUGGAGGCAGAGGGUGUGCAGAAGUGAUCGUGAGGUGGAGCCGUCAUAUCAAAGUCCCGCUCAAGCUCCCGCAGACCCAAUAGUAAGAUCACAAUCGUGACACCACACCCCACGUAAGAGAUGAGAAGAACUACCUAAAAUUAUCGAAACCAUCUUUGGAAAAAGAUUUACUUGUUUUUUGCUUUAGUUCUACAGUGUUUGCUCAUUUAAAACUUUGUGUAAUUUAUUAGUCAUUAUAAAAAUAAAGCAUGCAAUAAGCAAGUUUAUAUAAUGGUAUGACAUGAAAAUUUUAGGAUUCUUUGAUAAAUACAAAGUUUAAAAGACAGCAUUUAUUUGAAAAAGAAACCUUUUUUAACAGUAUAAAUGUGUUUGGUGUAGUGCUGUCAAAAGAUUAAUCGCGAUUAAUUGCAUCCCCAAAAACUUUUCUGAAAUAUAUAAAUGCAAGUGUGUGUAUUUAUAUAUACAUAAUAAAUAUGCACAACACACACACAUAUAUUAUGUGACAAAAACUUUUAUUUCGAAUGCGAUUAAUCGCGAUAGUGUAUAUUCAGUUUCUCUGUGCUAACAU